CGUCAUCUCUUUGUCUUCAACCACGUGGCUGUUCUUCUGCAAGACCAUCUCUGUCACCGCCACUACGCUAGUCGAACAGCUUAGCGCAGUGCAUGACGGAGAUGGGCUGAGUGCUAUGUGUAGCUGCGUUAUGAAGUGUAUCGCCUCAUGUGCUCUUAAUAAAUAAGAAGCCUCGGCGUGUCUCGCAAGUGGCUCACUACACUAGUAUAAGGGCCUGUAUGUAAGUCUAUGGAUCUCGAAGUAAGAACAGUGGACGCGACUAGAGAAAAGGCACAGAAUGAAAGCACACGGAGAGAUAGAAAAAAAACCCCAAGCAGUUGACCCCACGCAAUUCCGAGUAGUCUUGGCUCAGAAAAAAGAAAUUGACACAGGCCACCCUGGCCCCGACGGUGGGGGUCGUGGGUAUCGGGUGAACACCUCUGAUGCACUCGAGCGACAUUGAAGAGGGGCUUGCUUGUUUUUGUCGGUAAUUAGUUGGGGCGCUGUGAUGUCACGGGGUUCUGCAACAUCGUGUGCAGGGAAAUGGACACCGCCGGGCGUGCGUGGCACACCGAGUAACCACGCACAGGGGACUUGUGCAACAACAAGCUAUGGGAGGCACCGAAGAACCCGGAGGAAAGCCACACAAAGCAAGAGCCGAUCAUUUAAAAUUCAAAUAAAAAGGUGGAGAACUCAGACGCGUCAUGCUGUAAGGCUGUCAGGCACGGGUGUUAUCACUGUGCAACCCUGCCGGUCAGAUAUGAUGUAAACAGUCAUUAGGCAUAUAUUCACCCUCCGAGUGGAUGAAUAUCGACAACUAAAGAAUACAUUAUUGAUCUC